ACCCACCACUCUUCCUAGGGAUCUUACAUAGCAGGAUUACCAUAGUUGAGGUUUUUUCUUUGUAGCACAGGAGGAGAGCAGAAGGAAAAUGGAAUGGGAGCAGAGAGAAGAUGGGCUCUCGACAUGUGCAGAGGAGCAGCACAGCACCUGGCUCUCGAUACAGCCCUCAGAUGAAGGAGGCAAAAUAGCACUUCAGGCACUGUAAAGAGGAUCUGCUUCUUUGAUGUGGACAUUGCGGAGUUUAACUGGCAGAAGGCAGUGUCUUUACAUUGCUCCAUGAUGUAGAUGGAUCACUCUUUGCCAGCUGCCAAAUCAAAUAUUUCUGAACAGUCCCUGCCUUUGGCAACGUCCUCAGUGUUGUGGUGAUGGAUCCCUUGAAAGGACACCGCAGAACAGGCUUCAUGCUGCCCCUGUACUUCAAGCUCUCUGCUCUGCACGAAGCUGCACUGUUCAGAAGAAGCAAGAUUCUUUCCUCACAGCUACGGCACUGCGACACAGCCUGCUUUUUCGCAUCUACCUGGGUGGCUGCUGCUGGUUCUGCUACUGCUGCAGCCUCGCUGCCUGCGCUUCACCCCAGCUUGGCUGAUGCGAGUCUCCCUCGUCUGCACAUCGCUAAGGAAGAGAAGCGAUGGAGCCACAGUUUUUCUGUUGGUUCUGGAAGCAAAGGGUUGUGAUGUGGGGUGGCUUGGGGGUUUUCUUUUUUUGGUGGGGGGAGAAAGGAGGGAUGUUAAUCUAGGGUGGAGUGGGUAAAAGCCUAAAGAAAUAUGAUGAAAAGUAAUCCAGUGCUCAACAAGGGCAUCAGCAGCAAGAAUCCAGCCUC
rnacentral:lncRNA from 1 species